AAACCAGUCUAACCAUACGGGUCAGUUACAACAACCACAGGAAUUUGACAAAUCUACAAGCAAAGAACCACAAUCUUUACCAGCAUGCAGAAUUAGCCACGGUGAUUGAGUCGCAUCUACUGAGAGAAAACAAGUAUACUCUUUCCAAGAAAAUCUCAUCUAUCUCAGGGAUAAAUUUUUACAAGAGCACACAAAAAUCGCAUGUCAAGCUGCUUCCAAAUCUCGCAGAUGGAACUCACCUAAUGUCAUAUGAGAUGAGAAGAGUGAAGUUAAAUAAGGUGACCGAUACUCAACUAAAGAUCUUCACGCAAGAGAAAAGUGCUCUCGAACCAGAAGCUAUUCCACAAUAUUAAGAGUUUCAAACAAAGUAAAGAACAACCAUUAACGAGCAAGGACAGACACACACAUUUAAGGAGUUUUAAAAAUCCGACCUUUCGUUUCAAUUUCGUUGAUCUUCUUCUCCGAACCACCAUGGCGUCGUCAAACAUGACUUAUCUGUGUUAGCUCAAGUGCUACAAGUUAAUGGGACUCUUCUUGACCGCGACUGUCCACUCACAGAAAGACUUGAUCAGGCUCCUAUCGAUGAUUCUGUAAGUGUAUUCAUUUUCUUGCAUUUUUUUCUGUCAUCAUCAGCUGUUUUCCUUUUUUUUUUUUUUUUUGCAGAAUCUGCAGAAGUUCAUUCCUACUAAAGUUCGUGUUCAUUCGAUUUAUCCAAAACGAUACAGCAAUUUUAGUCAAAGGAGAUCUGAUGCCAUGAAUGCCCAGCUUGUUAAACAUGUGAGGGGUGGUUGUGUUGCUGCUCGUAUUGUAGUCUAUCCAUCUUACCUUAAAUUGGAAGGAAAGGAUAUCUACUAUCCCACUAAGUAUGAAUUGGAUUGUCUCGAGCCUGGUGGACACGUUGUUCUCUUAACUCAUUACGCUUAUGAUGCUAAUCGACGUCUCUACUACCAGUUUCAAGAGACUGCCGGUGUAGAAGUCUGUGAUGAGGGGGUAUGUAUGCAUACGUUUAUGCCGAUUUAGUUACCCAUUUUCUUGAGAUCGAUGCGUGAUAUCUGUUGCUUUUUGAAUUUCUAUUCUACUUGCACUAGAAUGUUUCAGGUCUGUGAUUUUUGAAUGUUGGAUUGAGACCAGGAAAAAGCCUUAAAC